rnacentral:lncRNA from 1 species
CACUGUUUGGUUUGUUACUAAAACUUGUAUUAGUCACGCGCUAAAGAUUAGUCAGGCACAAUUAGCAGUUUUAAUUGGCAGCUAUUUAGUUCACUGCUAACUAUGUCAUUCCACAUUCUUAGCACCGUGUCGCACGUGUCAAACUUAAUUUUGUGCUAAAUUUUGCUAUAAGUGUAGCUUCGGUUUUGCUCGUCACAUUUUCUAUGUCAGCCACACUUUGGCGAAUGUGAUGCUAGCAAACUACGACAACACAUCCAAACAACCCAGUUUCUGUGAUCACCUAUUGCAUAGGAAAUUGGAGAAACUGAUAGUAAAUGGCUCAUCAGUCAUCACGGCCACAUAUGGCCACUGUCAAGACGCUACUGUUCCUAUUUCCUACUACAGUAUGACGUUGCAAUUGCAACGCAGAGAGAUGGAGCAAGGUAAAGGCAUGGUGUGUACCUGAGGGUUAUCUUCCUCCUGUCACGGACGAGGAGCUGGGUCCUAUGGUCGAUGUAGGCGACAAAGAAGGUGAGCACGAUGUCGACGGCGAAGAAGAGGUCGACGACGAUGUCCGCCACCUCCAGCCCGCCCUUGGGGGACGCGUUCAUGAAGGCCACCUCGAACGGGUACACCCACGCCGAGUACGCCACCAGGACCACCAUCAACGUAUCCCACCAUCUGAUGAUGAUGAUGCAUGAUCGAGCAUCCAUGACAUGUAUAUAUGCAUGUCAGAUUGACUAGCUAGCUAGAUGGCAUGCCUGAUCGAUCAUCGAUGCAGGAUACCUCCUAUGUAGACAUGACAAUGAGCUUACACAGUCAUUGCUUGCAUCACCUGUAUCUGGAGUCGAGCGGCGAGAUGACCCACUUGUCCGACCCGCCAUGGGACUGGCUUUGGCCGGACGGCCCGCCGAGCGGCGGGAGGAUGACCUUGGACAGGUUCCGGAGGUUGAAGGACCCAGAGCCGGAUCUCGAGCCCGUGCCCGUGCCAGAGCUGCCGCCGGCGCUGCUCGAGCUCUUCAUCACGCAAUGCUGCUUCCUGCACCAGCGUCGCAACUAUAUACUAGUACUAUACUAUAUUUGCUAGGACUUGGAGAUAUCUAAGAUGUUGUGGUGGCGCUGCAGCCUGCUGGCCGGGGAUUGGGAAGAAAAGAUAGGGCCGGCUGAGGAAGGCAAAAGGAAAGCGAGAAUCAAAUCAGAUCCGCGUCUGGAGGCAUCAAAAUAAUGAAGCAAGCAGCCAAAGCAUCAAGGCAUCAAUAAUGGAGGAGCAGGAGGGUGAGGAUCUGACUGAGGGAAAGGGGGUGCUGUCCGGGACGACAGUGACCACCAGGCGCAGCUGCACACAUCUCGCGGCCUACAGGGCUACAGGUUGUGGCUGGGAAUUCACCGCGAUUUUGAGAUAUUGCACGUAUGAAAUGUUCAUGGAUGUGGACAUGUGUUUGGGGCCCAUGCAAGCAUAGCUACCUGUCUGCCUCCGGCGCCAAGCAACAAGCAUACCGCCAUGCUGGUGUGUGUUACUCGCGCAGGUCCUUUUUAGAUUGGAGUUUUGCGCUUUCGAAUUCAUUGCUGAAUGGCGACAAUCGGACAGUGCAGUCGGCAGCGGCUGUAGUCUCUAGGCAAAUGCAGCUCUGCUCCUCCAUGCAUGCAUCAUGCAUGUUUAUCACGAUUUCUGCGACUCACUAUCACAUAUCAAAUCUGAUUUUCCUUUUACCCCCACCUACCCCAGGCGUGUAUAUCCUGCACUUUUAAUUCGUCCUUAGGUAAGCCGUCAUCAUCAUCAAGCACAACCACCCUCUAUCGGCUUUAUGCUAAUACUGUGAAAAAACAACUCUGCUCAAUUUACAGAGCGCCAUAGAUUUCGCUGUCAGAUAUGCAAUAUAGACAUUAAUCUGCAGUGUCAGAAUGAAAUGAACAAGAGGUUUGACAGUUGGUAUUGACAAUGAAAUAGCAGGAUGAGACGGAACGGCGGAUGCCCAGCCUUGCUAACGAUUGAACGUUCACCAAAUUCUAAAAAGAGCAAACACUCCGACAACAUUUUCUUUUUACUAUUUUUGAACGCAUUGUUUUCUCUUUUUUUUUUAAAGAUCCGGUUACCCGGCAUAUAUAUUAAUAUGAAGGAUAGAGUUUACAACAUUCGCACGAGGAGCGCGUCCCCCGCACGACAGACCGUCAAGCGGGGCCUAGCUACAAAAGUUAAUUACUCCCAACAUUAGAAACUACAAAAAGUGGGGCAAGAGCCCAGAUGGAUGCCUCAUCCUUAAUCUGAGCCACGGUCUGCUCAACAGUGCUUUCCAUCCCUUGGAAAACCGACGCAUUCCUCCGCUUCCAUAGGCACCAUAGUGUGAGGAUCGCCAGGCUAUGCACCAAUUUCCCCCCGCUGGAAUCAUGUGUAGGAACCAAUCUUCGAUCGUUGGCAGGUCAAUCCACUGAGAUGGUUCCAGACUGCCGCAGUUGCUCCAGUUUGCUACUUGCCUCCAAACUGCUUUGGAGAAUGGGCAUUCCACAAAUAAGUGCCAUGCUGUCUCCAGGCUCCUUAUGCAUAAUCCACAAAAGUAGUUGUUUUCCCAUCCCCGUGACUGUAGUCGCGCGGCUGUCCAUAGGCGAUUCCGUAGCAGCAGCCAGAGGAAGAAUUUGCAUUUAGGUGGAGCCCAUGCCUUCCAUAUCAGCUUACAGAAGUUGGACUGUAUAUUGCCAAAGAACUGUGCGGCAUAGGCCGAACGAGCUGAGUACCUCCCAGACGCCUCAAGUGUCCAACAGAUUUGAUCAUCCUCAUCGUCUUGCAGCUGCAGGUGCAAGGACUGUAUGAGUUGCCACAUGUUAAUGUAAUCCGAGAUGAGGUCGUUGUUAAGGUUAUGUUAGAUAUCCCUAAUCCAUGUUGCGUUGUGGAGCGCCUUAGAGACAGUCCUGUAUUUCCUUUUGCUAUGGCUGUACAGACGUGGGAACUGCUUGGAAAGCGGCCGUCCCUGAGCCCUGUUGGAGUGCCAAAACAAUGCUCUCUGGCCACUUCUGAUUGUCACUAUUGUUGCCGCUGCAAACAGCGCCAAGUCUGAGUCAUCUACCGGCAACGGGGUCCCAUUCCAUGGCCUCUGCGGAUUGGACCAAGCAAACCAGAGCCAUCUGACUCUAAGUGCUCUGCUGAAUUUCUCAAAGUCUAGCACCCCCAGUCCUCCAUAUUCGAUCGGCAUUGUUACGUAAGGCCAUGCGACCUUGCAUUUCCCUCCUGAUACCUCACCAUCAGCUGCCCAUAAAAAACGUCGGCGUACCCUGUCCAAGUCUUCAGUAAAUUGUUUGGGGACUUUGAUUGCCGAUAGCAAGUAUGUUGGCUCUGCACAUGUACUAGCUUCAGUCUUCCCAUGCUUAGGGGCAGCCCCAGGUACUUGAUUGGGAACGAAACCCAUUGGCCAUGAAAGGAUCGUAGAGUGGCGUUCAGGUCAAGUCCUGUGCACCUUAUCGGCGCAACAAUGCACUUUGCCAUGUUUAGUCGAAGGCCCGUUGCAUUUCCAAAAUGCUCAAGAAUCCCAAAUAGAGCAGUGACCUCUUCUGCCACUGGGUUUAGGAAGAUAACCGCGUCAUCCGCAUAUAGGGACAGUCUUAGGUUGGCAUAUCGCCCACGUAGGGGGCUGAGCACGCCGUCUUCGGUUGCAGUGUCCAAAAUCCUUUGAAGUGUGUCAAUUGCAAUGAUGAAUAGGUACGGGGAUAAGGGGUCUCCUUGGCGCAAGCCCCUUGCAUGACUGAUUCGGUUCCCUGGUCGACCAUUUAGCAUGACAGAUGAAUGUGAUGAUUUGAACAGGAGGCUAAGCCACUCGCGCCAUCUGUGACUGAAUCCCCUUUGCUGCAGCAGUUCCAGUAGAUACUCCCAUGACACCGUAUCAAAGGCCUUGGAGAUAUCCAGUUUAAAUAGCAAGGCCGGUGUUUUUGUCCUAUGAUAAGCUCUGGCGAGGUUGCGCACAUACAUGAAGUUAUCCUGUAUACAUCUUCCCCUGAUGAAAGCGCUCUGGGCCUUUGAGAUUAGCUUGUCAAUGUGGGCUGAUAAUCGGAUGGCCAACAUCUUGGUGAUAAGCUUUGCAAAUGAGUUAAUUAAGCUAAUUGGUCUGAAAUCCUUUGCUGACUCACAGACCACAUCCUUCGGUAUGAGGACAAUGUAGGCUGCGUUGAGAUGUUCCAGCGGUCCAGCCCUUAGCUGGUAGAAGGAGUGGACAGCCGCCAUGAGAUCGUCCAUGAUGAUCGGCCAACAAACCUUAUAGAACGUCCCAUUGAAUCCAUCUGGGCCGGGGGCCUUCUCACUAGGCAUCUCUUUGAUCGUAUUCUUGAUCUCUUCCACCGUGAACGGUCGGUCCAUGUCUGGAUCGUCAAGGACAGGAAGUUGCAGUCUUUCCCAGUCAAGAAGAGAGCUUCUGUCACUCCUAGAGCCCAAAAUACCGAUAAAAUGGUGUUCCAGUAUGCCCUCCUUCUCGGAGUGAUUCCACACAAUGCGUCCGUCGUCAUCUUUUAAGUAGGCAAUGAGGGUUCUUUUUCCUCCUGUUCUUCGCUUUCUGAUGAAAAAAUUUUGUGCACGCAUCGCCCUCCUUGAUCUGCAAAACACGUGAGGCCUGUCUUCUCCUAGAUCGUUCCACAGCCGCCCAACCCAGCACUCUUGUUUUUAGCUGCACAAAGAGCUAAAAACAAGAGUGCUGGGUUGGGCGGCUGUGGAACGAUCUAGGAGAAGACAGGCCUUGCGUGUUUUGUAGAUCGAGGAGGGCGAUGCGUGCACAAAAUUUAUGGAUAUACGAAUAAAUUUAUGCAAUAACAAUAUGUACUUAAGAUCAUAAAUUAUUUAAUAUGUAGUGAAACUUAAUAAAUAAACAGAAACAUAAAACUUAUAUCACUAUUCGGACAUAGUACAUACACACAACUUAUAUAGACAUAAUGUUAUGUAACAAAACUUACUAUACCAAUAUUUAGGCAUAAUACAACAUAACCAAAAUGUGUUAUAUAAGUUAUUCAAAAAUAUAUGUUAAUAUAUGAACAAAGGAUUUUUUUGUCAACAGCAGUCAACCCCCCCCCCUCCCUCCAUGAUUGCUGAUGUGGUGCCAGGCUCCACCUCCACCUAUCAUAGAGGGUCACACCCCCCCUCCCCAUUUAUUGUGCAUUCAAGCCACAAGUGAAGAUUAGUGUAGUUCUACUCUCUUAGGAGUGUAGUCUAGUGAGAGUUAGAGUCGAGUAGAGCUUGCUCGAGGUUUUCGGAGUUGUCUUCUGGAGAGUCUGAUAUAGCUCUUGUACCUUUUCUUUCUUAGCAGACUUAAUCUUCCUUUACUUUACUUAAUCUUUACUUUGUGCAAUACUUAUCAUAGUGUUGUUAUGCUCUAUAUUUAUCAUACAAUUACUACAUUUAGAUUGUGAUCCAAGCCCACACGAGUACUACGACCAUAUCACCUAUCAUUGGGUGCUCUAGUUGAUCUUGUGUACAUACACAAUUAGAGUAGUGAGAGAGAGGGUGUAAGUGUUGUGUUGUAACACCCCUGGUGUUACGAGCUCGCUUAACACCUUGCUUAAAGCCUAAAAGAAAUUAACGAAACAAGUUUUUAUGUUUAACUUUCACGAGCCUCGGAUAACCCACUUUUGCGAUUAAGAGAAAACCUUCCGGACCUGAUGAGUGAGUCGCUGUAUGUAAAAAUACGCUAGUGAGAUCCUAAUAAUAAAAAUAGAAUAAGUGUUUUAAUUGUUCGGCAUGGAAAACAAUCUCUGCAAACACCAAAGCAAUAUAGUUCAUGAUUAGAAAGUUUGUUUUUUGAGAAUUAUCUUGUGCGAAAUAAUUAAGCAAUGCCUACUAAGUUUGUUUUAAUCAGUUAGUGUAAAGUGUAGGCCUUUGCUUCAAAUUCUUGGUAGUUGAAAGUAACAAGGUUUAGACCUUUUAAAAAUUGAGACAAAAGAGCUAAUGGUUGUUAGUUGUGACAGAAAUCCAGAAUUCAUUUAGUGCGCAUUGCAGUUACUUAAUAAUAUGUUAACCUAGGGGCUUCUAUACAAAAGGAGCGCAGCCAGAUCGUAGCAGGCCUGUUGGGCCAGCCUGCUUUGCGCGUGGGCUCCUCUGUGCACGCUAGGGUGGAGUUCUAGGCCCAAUUGGUUGCCGACGGUCCAUGGUGUUUUCUAAAUGCUUUUUCCAUUUUAGUUUCUGUAGUAAACUUGUAGAUUCAAUAUAACAUCUUGCGGAAAUCCAAAAAUAAUGAAACCAAUUUUAUUAACUUCCUAAAAUCAUGAUCUAUCUACUGGUAUAAUUUAUACAUAGUAUCAUAGUGUUCUCAAGGGUUCUCUAAUUAAUUAAAGUGCUUAAUAGCGAUGAUAUAUCAACUUGUAAGAAUUUUGAGGACAAAAUGAUGAUAGUGCUGACCAUGAAACUUUUACAGUGGCUUUGAAAUAUUAUUAUAUGCUAAAUGUAAUUUUGUAACUCUAGAAUAAUUAGUUUGUCAUAAUAGUCAAUGAACCCUAAUAUAGAUUAAAUAAUAAAUAGAUUAAGCAACACCUUGGACUUGUUGGGAGAUAACGUUAGCUCGGUAAUGUGGAUGCGCAUCUAGAACGUCAGUCGUUGAGCUAGUUUGUUAGCAUAAGAGGCGAAUCCAUAUUUAAGUUGUGAUUCCUGUUAUUUAUUUAUGCCUCUGCCAUUACCUCCGCGAACACUAGUACAAAAAUCUUUUUGUUGGCACCUUGUUUUUUUCAGAGACGGUUCACAAUUUCAUGACACCACUAGAAAAAAUUUUGUGGGGCCAUCAAGAGAACCGCCCAUGUAAAUGCGUUUAUAUAUGUGGUUCUCUUAACUCACUGCCUAUAUAAACGGUUUAUUUACACUUGAGGUUUACAAUAACAAUCGUCUGUGUAAAUGGUAUUUACACAACGGUUGUCUUAACAACACCGCCUGUUAAUGUACAUUUUUAUACAGAUGGUUUGUAUAGAGGUCCGUCUUUAUUAAUUGUAUUUACACAGGUGGUCCUCAUCAUAAUCUGUCAUGGGGUCACCAAGACCAACUAUAGCAUGGGGUCGUUGCUGUGCGUGAGCAGCUGCUUCUUCUACGCGCUGUGGAUCGUGGUGCAGGUGAAGCUGGGCAACGAGUAAUUGUUCCACUACUCGAGCACCGCCCUGAUGUGCAUCAUGAUCUCACUACAGUCCACGGUGUUCGCGAGCUGCUUCGAUAGGGACACCUCAUAGUGGCGACUCAAGUUCAACAUCAGGCUACUCUCCUGCGCAUACUCGGUCUGAAUGACGUUGUUUAUUAUUUGGCUGGCUGGCCGGCUAGAUGUGAGCGCAUGAUAUGCAUCCGCAUCUCGUCUGGCUGCAGGGCAUUUUGGCGUCGGACAUCGCACUGGUGAUCAUGGCGUGGUGCGUGAAGCAGCGCGGGCCUCUGUUCGUGUCCAUGUUCAGCCCGCUCAUGCUGCUGAUGGUGGCCGUGCUGAGCUCGCUACUGCUGGGCGAGAAGCUGCGCCUGGGCACGGCACUGGACGCGGUGCUCAUCGUCAUGGGACUCUACGCCGUGCUCUGGGGCAAGGGACGCGAGGCGGCGGUGGAGGCGGCCAAGGUCAAAGUCAGCGACCACCCCGCCGCCACCACCAAAGACGAGGAGGACAAGGACGACAAGCAGCACGUCAGCGCUCUGCUACCUCCCGCAGCAAACUCCGUCUGAUCUUAGAUGUGAUCGGUCGGACGGCGUGACAACGCUAUGUUGUUGUUGCGCCUUGCCGGGUACCGUAGUCACCAUGCACAUGCACCCCUUUAGCGACGGCGACACAUGCACGGGGUGAACAAAAAAUAAAUACUACUAGACCAUGAAACUUUUACAAUAGCUUUGAAAUAUUAUUAUAUGCUCACUGUAGUUUUGUAGCUCCUAGAAUAAUUAGUUUGUCAUGAUAGUCAAUGAACCCUAAUAUGGAUUAAAUAAUAAAUAGAUUAAGCAACACCUUGGGCUUGUUGGAAAAUAACGUUAGCUCGGUAACGUGGAUGCGCAACUAGAAUGUUAGUCGUUGAGCUAGUUCGUUAGCAUAAGAAGCAAAUCUAUAUUUAAGUUGUGAUUCCUGUUGUUUAUUAUACCUCUACGAUUGCCUCUGCGAACACUAGUAUAAAAAUCAUUUUUGCUGGCACAUUAUUUUUUCACAGGCGGUUCACAAUUUCAUGAUGUCAGUAGAAAAAAUUUUGUGGGCCCAUCAAAAGAACCCGCCUAUGUAAAUGUGUUUACACAGGUGGUUAUCUUAACUCAACUGCCUAUGUAAACAGUUUAUUUACACUUGCGAUUUAUAAUGUGUAAAUAGUAUUUACACAUGUGGUUGUCUUAACAACACCGUCUGUAAAAAUAUAUCUUUUUACACAGACGGUUUAUAUAGAAGUCUGCCUGUGUUAAUUGUAUUUACACAGGCGGUCCUCAUUAUAAUCCGUGAUGGGGUCACCAAGACCAACUACGCCAUGGGGUCGUUGCAGUGCGUGAGUAGCUGCUUCUUCUACUCGCUGUGGAUCGUGGUGUAGGUGAAGCUGUGCAACGAGUACCUGUUCCACUACUCGAGCACCGCCCUUAUGUGUAUCAUGAUCUCGCUGCAGUCUGCGGUGUUCGUGAUCUGCUUCGACAGGAACACCUCGCAGUGGUGACUCAAGUUCAAUAUCAGACUACUCUCCUGCGCAUACUCGGUUUGAAUGACGUUGUUUAUUAUUUGGCUGGCUGGCUGGAUGUGAGCUGAAUGACAUGCAUGCGCGUCUCAUCUGGCUUCAGGCAUCACGCUCGUGAUCAUAGCAUGGUGCGUAAAGCAGCGCUGGCCUCUGUUCGUGUCCGUGUUCAGCCCGCUCAUGCUGCUGAUGGUGGCCGUGCUGAGCUCGCUGCUGCUCAGCGAGAAACUGCACCUGGGCACGGCGCUGGGCGCGGUGCUCAUCGUCAUGGGACUCUACGCCAUACUCUGGGGCAAGGGACGCAAGGCGGCGGCGGAGGCGGCCAAGGUCAGAGUCAGCGGCCACCCCGCCGUCACCAUCAGAGAGACGAGUAGGAGGACAAGGACGACAAGCAGCACGUCAGCAUUCUGCUACCUCCCACAGCAAACUCCGUCUGAUCUCAUAUGUGACCGGUCGGACGACGUGACAUCACUGUGUUGUUGUUGCGCCUUGCCGGAGUACGGUAGUCACCACGCACAUGCACCCCUUUAGCAACGACGACGCAUGCAAGGGGGUGAAUAAAAAAUAAAUACUACUAGACCAUGAAACUUUUACAAUAGCUUUGAAGUAUUAUUAUAUGGUCACUGUAAUUUUGUAGCUCCAAAAUAAUUAGUUUGUCAUGAUAGUCAAUGAACCCUAAUAUGGAUUAAAUAAUAAAUAGAUUAAGCAACACCUUGGGCUUGUUGGGAAAUAACGUUAGCUCGGUAGUGUGGAUGCGCAGCUGCAGUCAUUGAGCUAGUUCAUUAGCAUAAGAGGUAAAUCUAUAUUUAAGUUGCGAUUCCUGUUGUUUAUUUAUGCCUCUACGAUUGCCUCCGUUCACUAGUACAAUUUUUUUUUCUAACACCUUAUUUUUUUCACAAAUAGUUCACAAUUUCAUGACGCUAGUAGAAAAAAUUUUGUGGGCCCAUCAAGAGAACCGCCUGUCUAAAUAUGUAAACACAGACGGUUCUCUUAACUCAACCGCCUGUAUAAACGGUUUAUUUACACAGACGGUUUACGAUAAUAACUGCCUAUGUAAAUGGUAUUUACAUAGGCGGUUGUCUAAACAACACCGCCUAUGAAAAUGUACCUUUUUACACAGGCGGUUUGUAUAGAGGUCUGCCUGUGUUAAUUGUAUUUACACAGGCGGUUCUCGUUAUAAUUCGCUUGUGUUAAUUUUGUUAUAAAUACCCUUCGUCCACCUCUAGACAACAACAGUUACUCUUGUGAGCUGUGCAGAGUGGCGGUCCAGACAAGAACAGUUUCCAAGGGAAGGUUUUGAUCUUUAUUUCUUUGGUGAGAAACUUCCAAAAGGUUAGUUAUUGAUUGGAUUAUUAGGGUCGCAAUUGGAUUUUUAGUAAAUGAGGAAUUUAAUAUCACCUGGAGUGAUUGGAGUAUGGUGCCAGAAGUGAAAAGGACCACUUGAUGGAAUCGCUUGUGCACUCGAUUUAUUUUCCCGGAGGGUACAGAAGUGUUGGCCAAGGGUUAUGUCAUGAAGCAGUUGGCAAUAUCAUUCCAGGGAUAUAGGCACGAUAUGAAUAAAAAGUGGUUGCAGAAGGGGCGGGACCUAACGAAGAGGUACCCUAUCACAGAGGCUCAGUAGACACAUUUUUGCGUCAUGAGAGACUCAGACGAUUCCAAGGCUAAGAGCAAAGCUGAUGACGACCAGGCCCGAUCUUCCGAGAGGUAGAUGGUAAAUUUAAUUUGUGGAGAUCUCGACGUUGGUGAUCCGGCUUUAAAUCAGACACGAUUCGAACCCUGCAACCAUUACACCACUGCUCUGUUGGUUAUCAACCAAGCACAACUUGAUUGACCUCACCAAGAAGGCUGUUCUUGCAAGUGAAUCGAAGAACAUAAGCAAGAAAAUAUAAAACACGCAAUCUGAAAUUGCAAAUAUGAGUUAACACGAAUACCAAAGAGGUUUCAAGAAUUUGGUUCCAAGGGACUAAUCGACACAGUGGAGGAGAUCAAGAACGGGGGCCUAGAUCACUCUAAAAGAAUUGGUUACCAUAGUUACAAUAAAUGAUUCAGUUUCUCGAUGGAAAACUAAACUCUAAUCAAAACCCAAGUCUAAUAGCGGCAGCUACGUGGAAUAAUAAAGAGAGGCGUUCUAGGGUUGGAGGCAACGAGAGGGAGGCACCCACAACUUGGGCUUAAGGCCCCGAACUCGAUACAUGGCCAAGUUAGCCCAAAACAGGUGAUGCAACACCUUGUCGUGGUCACACAGAAUAAUCCACGAGAGAUCUGGAGCUGGGACCAGAUCCAAAACAACGGCGGCAGCGUCCCCUUUCUAACGUGUCCAAGAUCAUCCCGUUUCGAUAUCGUAUGAAGAAGUUAUGAUUGAAACACUGAUGAUGUGUCUGCUGAAUCCGAGAGUGACAUCGUAGCUGAGUUAGAGAUGAAUUGCAACUUGGAAAAAAUGAUGGUGUAGGCGUGUCUAGCGUGGCAAUGUCCUGAUCAUCCUCCCCUUCUUGAAUUAGAGUCGUCCUCGACUCCAUAUUGGCGAUGUCUUCAUCAUCCCCUCCUUCGAGAAUUAGAUUCGUCCUCGACUCUUUCCCAUCAACGAACUCCUGCAAAAUGUUAGUGACAACAAGCAAUACAUAAGACAUAAUAGGUCGACAAAAUAUAGUAUAAUAUGGUGCAUCUGGUUUAUCACAUAACUCAACAGUGGCAGAAGUUGUAGCAAGUAAAGCACCUCCUUGUAACUUAAUCCCAUUAUUUUUAUCAAUGUCUAUUGGAGGUUUAUUGUUAAUCUCUUUAGCAUGUUUAACAAUAUCCAUAGGUGACAAAGGCAGCAAAGUAAUUUUCUUGUUCUUAUGCAUGAAAGCUUAUGUAUUAGUUCUACCAUGGUGUAAAGCAUCAUUAUCAAAUUCUCAUGAACAUCCUAACAAAAUUGAACAAGCUUGCAUAGGCACAACACCAAAAUCAGCGGUAUCAUGAUAACAACCUGUGAAGAAACUAAAACAAGCUUGCAUAGGCACAACACCAAAAUCAGCGGUAUCAUGAUAACAACCUGUGAAGAAACUAAUGCGGGCUUAUUUAGUUACCUUAGUCUUACCACUAUUAUUGAACCACUAAAGUUUAUAUAGAUACAAAUGUUGUCGUGUGGUUAAGCCAAGCUUCUCAACCAAAUCUGAACUCACCAAGGUAUUGCAACUCCCGCUGAAAGAGCAUCUAGGCCCCUAGUGAUUUCGGUGAUUAAUGACAUUAUUGAUUACUAUGACUAACGUGUGUUUUGCAGAGGCAAAGUCAUAGGUAAGGUCAUGGUAAAUAGGUACUCGAUGGACAGGGACGUACAUGCCUACUUAAUAGUGGAAAUCGUUUCGGUUUUCAAAGGAUGGAUGGACAUCGUCAAGACUGGACUAGGUCUAAGUGCCAUAUGGUGAAGAAGGGCACUUAGAGUAGUUUAGGACUUUGUUUUACUUUGACUGUACUAUUAAGAGGAGCUUUGAUCUAGUAGCUUUAGGCAAGGCUUUAGGUUUAGGUGUGGUGCACACUUGGUAAACCUAGCACUAGGCAGCUCAGAGAUAGUCCUUAGAUCGAGAGAAACCAACUUCGUUUUGGAGCGAUCGCGUUUCGACGAAGUUUGGGUGCCCAAAGGGGCACCGGACGCUGCACCGGACGCACUCACGCUAGCACCGGACGCACCGGGUAGCGUCCGGUCCCGUACCCAGGGAGCUUGUAAUGUUUCCCUGAGCACCGGACGCACCGGGUAGCGUCCGGUCCCAUGCGCAGGGAGCAUGUAAUGUUUUCCCGAGCACCGGACGGUGCACCGGACGCUGGAAGUUAGUGUCCGGUGACCUGUCAGAGAGAAGUACAGUUAGCCGUUAUGAAGCACCGGACGCUCGGUGCAGUGCGUCCGGUGCAAGAUAAUGUGCGUCUGGUGACCCCGUUUUCAGUGGAAAACGGUUGGCCGACCUUUGGACUUUGUGGAUAGUAUUUAUACUCCUCCACCUCGUCCAUGAGAGGUCUCUUGCCCAUUUGAACAUCAGAGAAACUUGUUGUGGAGAAAGAGAGUUGCAAGAGCCUAGAGAGGAUUGAGAUUUGAGUGAUUUCUUGAGAGAAUCCUUCUCUAGUGAGUUUCAAGAGUCAAGUGUGCAUCCACCACUCUCUAGUGCCUUGUUUGGGUCAAGUGAGAGUUCUUUGCUUGUUACUCUUGGUGAUCGCCAUCACCUAGACGGUUCGGUGGUGAUUGGAGGCACGAAGACCAUCCGGAGUUCUUGUGGGUGGCUCGUGUCAAGCUUGUGAGCGGUUUUGGGCGAUUCACCGCGACGGAGUGUCGAAGAAUCAGCCCGUAGAGAGCACUUGGUCCUUGCGCGGACCAAGGGGGAGCAAGACCCUUGCGCGGGUGCUCCAACGAGGACUAGUGGAGAGUGGCGACUCUCCGAUACCUCGGCAAAACAUCGCCGAGCACUUUCUUCCACUACUCCUUUACAUUCUAGCAUUUACUUUGUGCUUUUACAUUCUUAGAAUUGCCAUGCUAGAAUAGGAUUGGAGCUAGGUUGCAAAACUUUUAUCCGGUAGCUCUCUAGGACACUCUAGGCACAAGGGGUUGAAUUGGAGCUUAUAGGUUGCUUAAAUUUUUAGAGAAGCCCAAUUCACCCCCCCUCUUGGGCAUCUUGAUCCUUUCACCCGCUAUCAAUGACGGUGAGAACACAACAACCCUGCACAAUAAGAUACAUUUGGAACAAAUUGUGGCACUGGAUCUUCAUCUCUUCUAUUUGUCCCACACGUGAACUCAAAACACGCUGCACAAGAAGGCUACGGUAGCCCGCGGAGGCAGCCAUGGAGUCAAUGUGGAUGGCGUCUUUGUCUUGAUCGCCCUCAGAAGAAUCUGCAUCAAUGUUAGCAGCAAGGGCUAAAUCAUCUUCAACAUCACUAGCACUUACAUAUCUAUCCUCGGUAGCAAUGAAAGCACGACGACUAGGGCAGUUCUUCAUGACAUGUCUCAUGCCUUUGCAUUAGUGGCAAAUGAUUUUAGAACUAGGCAAGAAGGAGCUAGUAAAAACACCCAGAGUGGCACCUUUCUUCACCUGUGGGGGCUGCACAUUAGACAAUUUACUUACCCUAGCAGAAAAUGCAGGUGUAGAUGGUUGUGGUGCAAUAGAAAUCUUGGGCGUCUCUAGCUUGGAACGUUGCUGAAAAUUCCUCUCAGUGUUAGAGCUGAAAGACUGGUGUUGUUUGCGUCCCUGUACUUCGCGUUCUGCCUUAAUAGCAAGAUGAUACAAUUGGAAAAAAUUAUGACAUUCUUUAUAAUCAAGAAUGUUCUGUAUAUCAUGAUUUGAACCACAAAAAAAUCUAGCACUAGCAUCAAUAUCAUCUUUAUUGACACCACAACGUGCUAAACCAAUAAGCAAUUCUUGAUAGUAUGUUUCUACUCCUUUAUCUCCUUGUUUUAAAGCUUGCAGUUUAAGACAUAAAUUACGUUGAUAAUAAGGAGGAACAAAACAAGAUUUUAUACGUUGUUUUAAAGCAUUCCAAGUUCGAGGCAUAGCAGCAGUAUUAUUAACAUUGUAAAGAUAACUCUACGAAAACAAAGCAAAAUUAGUAAACUCACUAGUAGCAAGCUGUUGGGAAGAUGCUCUCCGCACUCCCCAGCAGUACGAUGAAUAGAGAACCUUCUCACUCGAUGCCGUGAGAGGUCUGAGCUCCAACGAGCAGCGGGCUCAACAGUAGGUGAACACAAUGAAUGCCCUCCUUUAUUAAUGGCGGUAUCACGCCCCUUAUAUAGGGCCCGGAAACCAACCUAAUGACAUUUACAUAAAUGCCCCGUGACGGUGGGGGAAUAUUCCGGUAUAUCCUUUCAUCGCAGUCUACUGACCCUAAUACACCUGCGUAAUUUCACAUUGCAAACCCUUCGUUCAUCCUCUGACUGGGGCCUCAGCAUGUCGGAGGCUUGGAUCCUCCGCCCAGUUGCGGAUCCUCCGACGCUUUGGUGUCGGAGGUUCCGCAGCCCGGCUGGUCGGAGGUUGCUCGACCCGGCCACCCCGGGAGUUCCUCCUUAGCCUGGUCCAGUCGGAGGUUCCUUGGCCUGGCUGCGUUCUCCCGCCAUCCUCGGACCCGGGAGGGUCGGAGGCUCCAAUCUUUCCUCGCUCGUGGACCUCCGCCGGUGUCUCAGUCCCUGCACACACACUGCGCGACCAGACGAGUUGUCAACAUUAGCAUUUCCCGUCGAAGGAUAUCCUCCAACGUUUCAGGCGUCGGAGGUUCCUCAGGUGAAGGAUAACCUCCGUCGCUACCAGGGGGAAGGAUGCAGCUUUUCCCCAACAGUUCCCCCCUUUUUGGGCUAAUGGCACUCCUGCGGUCCAUGUGCUCAAAAACAUGCUACGCUGCGGAGACUAUGAGCAUGGUUGCUGCCUUCCCCCCUGGUGCGCAGGAUGUGUUUGUUAGCAGAUGUUGGAUAACUGUUUCUUUUACUUAGUCAUAAAUUUUCUUGGUUUCUUUAUUUUGCCGGGAUCCUCCGAUCAUUGUUGCUAUGUUAGUCUGAUAUCCUACGCGCGUUAGAUUGCGGAGGAUUGCGGAGGAUAUUAUUGCCGUUGGAGUUAGCCGUUGGCAUUGACGAAGCGCAACGGUCUGGCCGAUUCCUCCGCUUAUAGCCGUUGGGCGCGGGGAAUCGCAACGGCCGCACGGUCGCAGGCCCCCCCCUAUAAAAGGGGAUGCUGGGGAGCUUUGAGCUCUCACACCUGCUACUCAUUGCCUGCACACCUUCCUUCGCUACAUCUUUCGCUCUGAGCUGCUCGCGUGCGUUUUUGUUUAGUUCUAAAGUAUUGUCUGAGGUUUUACGGUGGCUCAGCUUCCUCCACCGCGUCCUUCGAGGUCAGAUUUUUCUGGUCCUUUGCGCAAUUUCCUUAGUGUGAGGUCCGGAGGUUGGCUGCGGAGGUUUGAGGAGUGGAUGCUUGAGGUGACCGCAGCUCGAGAUCUGGAGGAGACGUUAUCUGACGUCGAAGCUUCUGUUGGGGACUUGAUCAGUGCGAAGGAGUUUGAGGAGAUGGCGGCGAUUACUUUUGAGUUCGGGCAGUCGACUGUGAGGACGGAGGAUAUCGCUGACAUGGUUGAGGCUAGGUUUUUCAAGGAUGGUCGGGCGGAGGCUCCUCCUGCGGGUCAAACGGUGCCUGCGCCUGGUGAAGGUUAUGCGGUGGUUUUUAGGGAUUUCUUCACCUGCGGGCUUCGGAUGCCUCCAUAUCAUUUCCUUCGCGAAGUGAUGGAGAGUUUCAACGUGGAGCUGCAGCACUUCAGUCCCAAUGGGAUACUAACACUUAGCAAAUUCGCAUGGGCGUGUGAAUCCUACGGAGCCAUGCCCCACAUUGAUACUUUCUGCUCGUAUUUUGAACUUCAGCGUCAACCUAAGAAGGUGAAGGAUGCCGAAGGUGUUGAGUGCAUUGCGCAGUUUGGAAGCUGCGCGUUCAUGCCGCGCCGCACAAUGCCUGGGCCAAGGUGCGAGAUCUCCUACUGCCAAAAGGGCAAGUGGGAGAAGGAUUGGAUGAGGGCCUGGUUCUACGUGAAGACCCCCGCUGCGUCGAAGACUUUAGAUGACGGCAGCGUUGAUAAAGUUUAUCCUUACGCGUCGUUGAUGAAGGAGCUGAAGCCUUUCUCGAAGGUUGAUCCUUCGCAGGAGAUGUCGGAGGAGCGACUGGCUUGUGAUAAGGCAUUUGCGCUGGCAUGCCGAUAUUCCGGAGGCCGGGAUUUGGUUGAGGAGAUGGUCGCUGCUGACUACUGGCCCCUUGGCCGCAGGACCGAUGAGUUCACCAUUGAGAUGGUGCAAGUCCCUGUGUUUGGUCCUCCGGAAGGUUUGCCGUUUCCCCGGUUUGGCGCGGGUAUUCCGGAGGAUGAGACCAAGGAGUCCUUCCUUGAUCGAGUGGAGGUUUCUACUCGGAGGAUCGUCGGGAAGAUUUUGGAGAAGGAGUAUCUCCAGCGGAGGUCUGCACUGGGCACGAUGCCCCGCUUUAACCGAGUGUUUGAGGAGUUGGGGAUUGAAUAUGAGGAUUACGUUGUUCCUCCGGAUGUUUUGUUGGGGUUGGAGAAGAAGAAGGAUUCCAAGGCCGUUGCUGCGGCGGAGGCUAGGAAGAGGAAGGGUGGCGGCGCUGUGAAGCAGCUUGCUAAGAAGCGCAAGGCGGAGGUUGUGUUGGAGACUCCUGUGGGGUCUUCCUCCGCUCGCUCUUCUGCUGCCGAGUCCAACUCGGUGGCUUCUGUUCCUGCGGAGGCUGCUCCUGCUGGUGGAGUUCCUGAGGUUGAGGCCUCACGCGCGGUCUCUUCUAUACGCGCGCCUUUCGCGUCCCUUCUUGGGGAGGAGUCUUCCGAUGCGGAGGCUCCUGAGGCGAGUCCUGCGCGGGAGGCGAAUCCUGUGGUGGCCGAGAGUCCUGCGCGUGAGGCCUUGGCUGGAGGAGGAUCUCCGCCUAAGGAGGUUCAGGUGGAGUCCAGCGACGAAGCUGAGUCCGCCUCUGUUCGGAGGAUCAGGAGGGCGGAGGCUCCCCUUCGUCCGGCUGGUGACGGUAUUAAUUCGUUGUACAUGGGUAAUGAUUUUUUGUUGAUUAUUUGUUUUUCUGCUGGUUUUGAUUGACUUGGUCUCAUGUUUUUUGUUUAUCUUUCAGCGGAUGUUUUUGCUGGGCUGGCUACCGCGGAGGAGAUGGCUAAAGGCGCCAGCGUUGCGCAGGAAGGACUUGCCGUUCCUCCGCCGCGUGAGCCUGCGCCUUCUGCGUUGGCCAACAGGCCUUCGCCUGCUGAUGUUCUUGGUCCCGGUGAGUUUCUUCUUUUUGGUUCAACAGUUUGGUUUGUUUUUUUGGCAUUUUAUUCUAAGGUUUGUUUUUGUUAUGCGCAGGUGCUUCUGAUCAUUCGAUCACAGGUUGGACUGAUGCCUUGCGUGAGGUUCAUUCCUUGGUCGGAGGUUCGUGUUCUGGCCUCCGCCAAAGGUUUUUUGUUUCUUACGAUGUUUUUUCUUACUUGUUUUUGCUUUACAGAUCGUUUUCGUCAGAAGCUCCGCGGCAUGGACUUUGACACGCUCCUUCGCGUGCAAUAUGAGCACCAUAGCCUUGUAUGUUUGUGAUUUGUUAUAUCUUCCUUCGCGGUUUUUCACUCGGAGGUUUGUUGUAACUAUUUAUUUUUGAGCAGGGUCAUCACAUGGCUGCCGCCUUGGAGGAGCGUUGCUCCCGGGAGGUUAUCUGCCGUGAUGAGGCGAUUGGUGCUCUGAAGAAAGAGAACGAGACUUUGGAGGCUGAGAAGGCUCGUUUGUCGGAGGAGGUUAAGGAGUUUUCCUCCGUCAGGAAGGAGAUUGAUUCCCUGAGAAAGGAGAGGGAUGACUAUAAGGCUGGAUCGGAGGUUCUGAAGAAGGAGAAGGAAGAUGCCGAAGCUUCGGCGGCGGUCCUCCGCACAAGUGUCGCUGAGGCGGGUAGAGUUAGGGACUUAGCCCUGCAGCGAGCUGAGAAGGCGGAGGACAUUGCUGAACGCCUUCGCAAGGAGCUUGACGCUGAGCAGACGUCUGCGGUUGAGCUGCAGACUCGCAUGCGGAAGGCGGAAGCGGAGGCUGCAGCUAUUGUUGGGCUCUAUGCCGACUCGCUCGCGAAGUUUGGGGGAAGCACCUCUGCUCCUCCGCCCGGCGGUGAUGUUGGGGCUGUCCUCGCGUGGCUGAAGUCUCAUAUCCGCAUGCUCCCCGACUUUGUCGGAGGUGCUGUUGAUUUUGGGGCUUUGGCCGCGGUUAGCUCCUUCGCUAGGCUUUUACGCCGCGGAGGUUGCUCUCACGCGGAGGGAGUCGCCAAGGAGGAAUUUGCUGCGGCGGAGGAUGUUGGCGAAGGCACCCCUAGCCUGCGCAAAUCUGUCCGGAACUUUAUCAGUUCGUUCUGGAUUAGGUUUGGGCGGGAUGAGGCGAAGAAAAUGGCAGAGGAUCGUCGAGCUGAGGUUUGUAUUAUUUGGUUAUUUCUUUUCGUAUUUUGCUUUGCUGCUUUGCAAUGUUACUUAAGAUGGGUAUUUUGUAGGAGAUUGCGAAGAAGAAGGCUAAGGUUGUCAAGGCCGGUCCUUCGCGUCCACCGAGGGAGACGUGUCCUCCGACCCAGGUUGAAGCGGAGGCUCGUGAUGCUGGUGCCAAAGCUCCGGAGGGGUCUGGUGCCAAGGUUUCAGAGACGCCCGAGGCUUCUGCUCCUCCUCCGCCUCAGGUGUGAGGCUUUUUAGUUUUUAGGUUUUUCUUAGCCUUUUUUGCGUCCAGGCAUGUGACGCUUUUUUGUAAGUAAGGCCGGAGGUUUUGCUUUAAUUUGUAAAGACUGUUUAAAAUGUAAUAUAUUGAGUUGUUUUCAGAUAAGCCUUUGUUUUACACUUUGAUCCUGCGCAGGUCUCUGGCGGAGGACCUGCGCAGGAUCAUUUCAUUACUCCCCUUUCGUUUUUUUACAAAGGGAUUUAUGUUUCUGGCGAAUUGUGGGAGUAUUGGCGAGUUGCCUUCCCUAACAUGAGAUUGGUGGAUAUGUUCGAGUUUGUUGGAUAUGAUAUUGAUGGCGAAGGAUCUGGAUUUAUCCAGUCGCUUGCGCGCCGAGGUUCAUGGCCUCCGGCUUAGGUGGAGGUUUUUGUUUUUCUUUUCGUUUAUCGUAGGUUUUGCUUGUAUUUUUUGACAUGAUUUGAUGUGUUUAUGUAGUUGCCAUAUCCUAUCCUUCGCAUCUUUGGUGAGAGGGAUAGGGUACGCUGGGUGGCGGAGGCUUCUGAGGAUGUUGCUGAGCCUUUUCUUCAAGGUUUUCCGGAGGUUCGAAAGCUUCGUUUGGCUUUUUAGUUUUAUCCUUCGUUUGUGUUGGCUUUGAAGUUGUUAUUUUCUGCGCAGGUUGUGAGUUCUGCUCCGUUGGAAGAUCUUCCUUCGAACUUUGUCGAAGGAAGUUACGUUACCCCGGUGACGUUCAAGCGUGGAGAUUUGUACGCGAGGGGUUAUCUAAUUGACUGGUGGCGCCAUAAGUAUCCUACGCGUAGUAUAGAUGACUUAGUUGAUUUCCUUGUUCGUGAUUACUGUGAUGAUCUUAGGCUUUUUCCAGAUUCGUAUGUUAGAAUUGUGCGAGGGUCUUAGAACCUUCGGCGUUUUAAGGUCGGAGGAUGUUUCUCGUUUUUUGUUGUAAGCUUGUGUUAUGUACAUUGUAUACGGUUAAUAAAGAUCAGACAUUUUUACCACAUGGUCUUCGCACCUUUUAAUUUGUACGUGACUCAUAGAUCCUUCGGUUGUUUAGUUGAAGGAGGAUUUGUAAGUUGAACUUGUACAAGCUACCUAUAACCUUCGACUUUUUAUGGGUCGAAGGAUGAUUUUAUUCUUUUUUUUUUGUAAACGAACUUUUGUAAUGAUUUCUUCAUCGAUAAUAAAGUUUUUAAGUUUGCUACAACCUUCGAUCUCAUUUUUAUUACAACCUUCGCGCUACAGCAUUUAUAUAUUGCAACGUCACGGUGGUGUUGAUCCUAAAGAUCUUUGUGUUGCUGUGGCUUGCUUGUUCUUGAUGCUUGAUGUUGCGAAGGAGUUGUUGAUUUUUUCUUGCGCGGAGGAUCGCUGCUUCUUGGCCUUAGAACCUUCGACUUUUUUGGCGCGAAGGAUCCUUCGCUGAAUUGUGCUAUUUUUUUCCUUUGCUCGACUCCCGUGGAGUGUUGUCGAGGAGAACCUUCGGCUGUCUAAGUCGGAGGUUCUGAAGGGAUGUUACGAGACUUCGUGCGAUACCCUUCAGAGACCUCUGAGUCUGACUUCCAUUGUUUCUGUUGUGGCUGUACACGACUUUGUGGUCGAUGUUCAUCACAACGCCGUAGUUCUAGUAUUACGAAGCUUCGUGCGAUACAAACUUUUGUUGGUGUUGUGAGGCUAACUCCUGCUUCCAUGGUGGCCUAGGAUUUUUGCUUUUUGACUGCUAGGUUUGCACUCGAUGCUCGGGUCUUUGUAUGCUGAUCCUGAUUGGGGGUGGGGGUGGGGUGAGCCUGGUUUUAUAGGCUUUCAUGCAUUUAUUUUAUGUACUCUGUUAGGUUAAAAUUUAUUAUCGGGUUAUUGAUGGUUGUUGUGGUAGUUGGUUUUGCUGUAUCUGACCGAGGGUUAUUGUAGUUUCGUUUUAAUUUCACACUUUGUUUGUUGGGGGUCUGCUUAGAGUAGCAGGAUACCUUUGACCUUAUUUUGGUGAAGGUUAUGUGAAUUUUGUUGGGGUCUGUCCUGUGAAUGUUAAACCUCCGCUGCCUUUUGGCGAAGAUAAUAUGGUUCCUGAUGCCUGAUUCUCCUCAGGUCUUUGUCAGGUUUGAAGGUUUUGCUCCUUCUGGCCAUGUUGUGAUGCCUGAGACGGACAGGACUUUUUCACUUUUUGGCCAUGUUAUCCUUGCUGCCCGGCUCUUGGCUAGGUCUUUUGCUAAGGAUUUGGUGUUUUUUCACCUUUGAGGACGUUCCGAGCUUUCUGAGCUGUUGGAUGGAAGCUGCGGAGGGUCCUUGUGAUCACGUGACGUUUUGUCGAAUGCUACAGCCUCGUUGCUGGCUGUUUUUCGACUUUUUGGGCUUUGGUUCUGGGGUGGAUUCCUCUUUAUAUUUCAGAGGUUUUUACAUGGGUUCUGCCUCGUUAAAAACCUCACCUCCUGGUAGGAGUACCCCUGUGAGGAAAAGAGUGCAGACCUUGGAAUGCGAAAAAGUAGAGAAAAAGAAAACAAGCGUAUUUAGGGAUGUGGAUGCCGCCGCUUAUUUUGCAGGGGUCAUCCUUACACUCAAAUGUAAAAUCUACGUAGAUUGUCGACGUUCCACGUGUGGGUGGAGGUUCUUCCUUCGAGGUCUUUCAGGUAGAAGGAUCCCGACCUUCCCGCUUGUAUUGCUGUGUAAGGUCCUUCCCACUUGGGUUGCAAUUUACCAGCGUUUGGGUGAUCUCCUUUUUUCCUGAGCACCAGGUCCCCAUUUUGUAUGUCUUUUCGUACUACCUUGCGGUCUCUCCAAUUCUUGGUUUCUCGUUGAUACUUUGUAAUGUUCUCCACUGCCUCAAGUCUUAUUGAUUCUAAGGUUUCCUUGCAGUACUCUUCAUCUUCAGCCAACUGCUGAUUCAUGGAACGCAGGCUUUGGUGUUUGAUUUCUUCGGGCAACAUUGCCUCUUCCCCAUACAAGAGCUUGAAUGGAGUGAACCCAGUUGUUCUUGAAACUGUUGUGUUAUGUGACCAUACAACUCUUGGUAGUUCUUCAACCCAUUUCCCCUUGCGUAGGUUGAGUAAGGUCUUGGAGAUUGCGGAAAAUAUUGUUCUGUUUGCUCUCUCUACGGCCCCGUUUGACUCUGGGUGAUAAACAGACGCGAAAGCAAUUUUGGUUCCUAUGUGAUGGCAGAAUUCCUUGAAACUGUCUGAAUCAAACUGCUUCCCGUUGUCAACUGUGAGCAAGCGUGGGACUCCGAAUCUGCAGACUAUGUUCUGCCAGAAAAAUUUCCUGAUUGUUUCAGAGGUUAUGGUUGCCAGUGGCUUAGCUUCGAUCCAUCUUGUGAAGUAUUCGAUGGCCACGACUGCGAAUUUGUUUCCCCCCUGGGCAGUUGGCAUUGGUCCUACCAGGUCCAUUCCCCAUCUCUGCAACGGCCAUGAUGCUGGUAUGAGCUGAGUUAGUGCUGAGGGUCCUGCCUGAAUUGGUGAGAAGGUUUGGCAGGCUUUGCAUGUUUUCACUAUUUCUUCAGCGUCUUUAAUGUGAGUUGGCCAGUAGAAACCUUGUCUUAGUGCUUUAGCAGACAACGCGCGGGGUCCAAUGUGAGACCCGCACAUCCCUGAGUGUAUCUCUUGUAGGAGUUCUCUGCCCUCGCUUUGUGAUAUGCAUCUCAGCAAAGGUUGGACUACGCCUUUCUUGUACAGGAUCCCGUCAAUGGAGGUGUAAUUCCUUGCUCUUGCCUCCAUCCUCUUGGAUGUUGCUUCGUCAUCUACAGCUGUCUCGCCUUUGAGGCAAUCAGCUAUUGCCUGCCUCCAAUCUUCGCUUUCUGUCAGCAGGACUGAGCGAAAGGCUUUUGGCAACGAUUCGGUUGCGGGUGCUGUAACAAUCUGGUGGAAGGUUCCUUCUGGCAAGGGGGUGUUGUUGGCUGCUGCCUUCGCUAGCUCGUCUGCUUCGUAGUUUUCGGCUCUUGGAAUGUACUGCAGAGUGAAUCCCUUGAACCUUCUCUCCAGGCCUCUUAGGACGGCCAGAUACCUUGCCAGCUCCGGGUUGUGUGCUAGGUAUUUCUUCUCCACUUGCCCUGCCACCACCUGGGAAUCUGUUUUGAUGAGUAGGGUUUUUGCUCCCGAAGCCUUAGCUUUGUUCAGCCCGAGGAUGAGACCUUCAUACUCGGCUAUGUUGUUUGUUGCUUUGAAUUCGAGUCGUACAGCAAACUUUAGUUUGAGUCCAGAUGGUGUGAUUAGGACGGCUGCUGCUCCUGCUCCCGCUUGGCCCCAGGCGCCAUCUGUAUACAGCGUCCACGGCUGAUCGACUACCUUCUCCUCGUUUUUGUCCGAAGGUGUCCAAUCUGCCAUGAAGUCAGCCAGGGCUUGAGAUUUGAUGGAGGUUCUGGGGACAUAGGUGAUAUCAAACUGUGAUAGUUCGGCCGCCCAUUUUCCUAUACGUCCGGAAGCCUCUUUGUUCCUAAGGAUAUCACCCAGUGGCUGUGAAGUGGGCACUUUAAUCUCAUGGCUUUGGAAGUAAUGCUUGAGCUUCCUUGAUGCACACAGGACCGCGUAUGCGAUUUUUUCUAUCUCCGUGUAGUUCAGCUUUGCUCCUGAUAGAGCUUCAGAUACGUAGUAGACGGGUCUUUGCACCGUUCCCUUACUGUCGCUUGUCUCGUGCACCAGGACACCACUGACAGCGUGAUUGGAGGCAGCCACAUACAGUAGUAGUGGGGUGUCCGGCUCAGGCACUGUCACCACCAGGUUGGUUGCAAUGUAAUUUUUGAGAUGCCUGAAGGCCUCUGAUUGUUCCGGACCCCAUUCUGUUUUACCUUCUCCUCUCAGCACUUUGAAGAAUGGGAGACUUCGUUCUGCCGAUCUCGAGAUGAAUCUGUUGAGGGCUGCUAUUCGGCCAGUCAGCCUUUGCACUUCUUUCUUGUUUGAAGGUUCUGCCAUUGACAUGAUUGCUUUUGUUUUGUCUGGGUUAGCUCUAAUUCCUUCAGAACUGAUGAUAUAUCCCAGCAUUUUUCCCUUGCUGACCCCGAACACACACUUCUCCGGGUUAAGUUUCAGCCCGGCAGAUCUAAGAUUGACGAAGGUUUCCUGUAGGUCCUUGAUAUGAUCUUCCUUGCGCUUGCUCAUGACGACAACAUCGUCGACGUAGGCUAUGAUGUUUCUCUGUAGCUGACUUCCUAGAACCUUCCCCAUCAUUCUGGAGAAGGUUGCUCCAGCGUUUUUGAGACCUUCUGGCAUUCUGGUAUAGCAAUAUGUGCCGAAUGGGGUUGUGAAGCUUGCCUUUCCUUCGUCUUCUUUUUUGAGCCAAAUUUGGUGGUAACCAGAGAAACAGUCCAGCAGUGAGAAUCUCUGACAACCAGCUGCUUUGUCCACAGAGGUAUCUAUCCUUGGCAAGGGGAAGGAGUCUUUGACAAAAGCCUUGUUGAGAUCCGUAAAAUCUAUGCACAUUCUUAUUUUGCCAUUUUUCUUGGGGACCAAGACCACAUUUGCCAACCAUUCCGGGUAUAUGACUUCUCUAAUGACCUUUGCGUCCAGGAGUCUUUGUACCUCUGCCUUUGCGGCUAAGGUUCUUUCUUCAGACAUUUUUCUCUGUCUCUGCUUCUUCGGCCUCAUCCUCGGAUCAAUGUCCAGCGAAUGCUCUAUUAUGUCUCUGCUGACUCCUUGUAGGUCAGCGGCACUCCAAGCGAAGAUAUCUUGGUUCUUUUGCAACACGUCUAGCAGUUCGAGUUCCUCCUCUCUACCAAGGGUGGCGGAGAUGGUGACCUUCUUAUCUGGAACAGCUUCCUGCAGAGGGACACAUUUUGUUUCCUCCUGAUCAGCCAGGUCUGUUUUCCCCCUUGGCAUGUCUGGUGGCUGGGAAGCUUCAUGCUGCAUAGAGUCUACGGAGUUUAUGUUCCGGAAGGACUUGUAGAUUGCUUUCUCUAUGUUCCUUGCCUCCUUUUGACUUCCGUGAACCGUUAUCACUCCGUGCAGAGCCGGGAUUUUCAUGCACAGGUAUCCCAUAUGAGCGGCCGCAUUGAACUUGUUCAAGAAUCCUCGCCCGAAUAUGGCAUUAUAUGGGUAGUGCAAGUCUACCACAUCGAAGGUGACGUACUCUGUUCUUGCGUUCUCCGUUGUGCCGAAGGAUACGGGCAAGGCGACCUUCCCCAGAGCAUGUAUCUGCUUUCCUCCGAACCCGAUCAAAGGUGACUCCGAAGGUUGGAGUUGGCUUCUACUGAGCUUCAUUUGGUCAAAGGUUUCAGCAAAUAUUAUGUCUGCGGAACUCCCUGAAUCCACUAAGAUCCUGCUUACUCCCCAACCCGCAACAUUUGUUGUUAUGACCAAGGCGUCUGUGUGAGGGUAGCUUUCCAAUCUUAGAUCUUCCUCGGUGAAGGUUAUUGGGGUUCUGGACCAAUCAGUGCAUCUCACUGGCCCUUGAACUGCAACGUUGUUGACGAGCCGGAGGUGAUCCUUCUUCUGUUUCUUUGUCUGGAACUCCAUUGAGGACCCUCCAGCUAUUGGUAAGAUCAUUCCAAUCGUGGGCAGGGGUGUAUGAGGGCCGAUCUGAUUAUCAGGGUGGGGUUCGGUUUUUGGUGGUGGUGGGGCUUGGAGUAGCUGUAGCUGGUUUGGGGGAGGGGGUAGUGACUGCUGGUGGGGUUGCGGGGUCUCGAUGUACGUGAUAUGUGGAGGUCGUGGAGGAACAUAGUUUGGUGGAAGGUUGUGAAGGUUGUGGUCCGCGGUUUGCUGGGCUAGGCGCCAAGCUGGUAGGAAGCUGGGAUAGUAAGCGGAGGCUAGCGCGCUGGGCUGAAGUGGAGCUGGGAGCUGUUGGCUUGAACCUCCGACAUAUGAAUGGUAGAAGGUUUGAGGGAAUGUGUGAUUUACUUCCCGAGGUUGAGCAACUGGUAUCGGAGGUUGCGGAGCUGACCUGCUCUUGAUCCUCUCCUGAGUUUCUUUUGCGUCUGGGCAAUCUCUGGUGGAGUGACCCUUCUCCUCCCCAUGGAAGAAACAAUACUGUUUCCGUGGUCGCUGACUUUGAUUUUUUCGCCAUCCCGCAUUUCGACCCCCUCUUCCGGCUUGAUUGGGUAUGCGUUCCGAGCUUCGCGCUUCCGCUAGUGGACGGUUAUUUUCUGGCCUGUCAUUUUUCGGUUGCUCGAUAUUCAUCAUCUGUCCACCAGCCUCUCGCUGUGGCCGGCGUUCAUCCUGGCUGAGGUUCUUCUUAUGUGAGUUUCUAUCAUUGCUCUGCCUCUUCUGGGAGUUUUGGUCUUCCAACCUUUUGCGGUAGUCGUUGUCUGACCUGCAAUACUUCUCAAACUCGUGGUACAGCUCGUGCAUGGAUGCUGGCUUUUCUCUGGCCAAAUCAGCCGCGAAGGGCCCUAUGCGAAGACCCUUGAUGGCCGCUUCAAUGGCAACCUCCUCCGGCACGCCGGGUGCUCUUGCCUUAGUCUGUACGAACCUUUGGAAGUACUCCCGCAGUGCCUCUCCCUGACUCUGGCGACACUGGAACAGGUCCGUGGAGGUUAGUGACUCAACUGCGAAUCCCUGGAAAUUCGCUAAAAUCUUGUCUCGAAGGUUCUCCCAUGAAUAGAUUGACCCGGGUCUCAGCAUUGAGUACCAUGCCAAGGCAUCUCCCUCGGCUGCGAUCACGAAGGAUUUUGCCAUCACAGUCUCGUUCCCUCCAGCUGAGGCCACGGCUGCUUCGAAACUCAUCAGGAAUUGGCGCGGAUCGGCCUUUCCGCUGAAUUUAGGGAGCGUGAUAGGUUUGUAGGUUGUUGGCCAAGGCGAGGUCUGCAAUCCUUCGGACAAAGGGGAGCGAAGGUCCAACGUGCCCCGCAGCAUGCCACCGUAGUUUGCCGGUUGCACAUCUAAUGUUGGGCCGACGCUGGUCAGAACAGCGGGCUGGACUGUCGGCUGAGGUGGAGGUUGCAUGCUAAGGAUUUCUGCCUGCAGGAGUGAAAGCUGCUGCCUGAUCUCGGCAGCUUGCGUCGCGGCCACCGCUGCCUCUUGGCUGGCGGCGUAGGCGGCAGCGAUCCGGUCUCGCUCUUGCUGAAGGUUCUGCAAUUGCGUCUGCAGCUGCUGGAGCUCUUGCGUGGCCAUGGGUUGCGCCGGGCCUGCGGCGGGAGGAGGUUCCUGGCGUGUUUCCGGCUGCUCGUUCUCUGGCUGCUCGCCCUCAGAACCUUCUCCUUCCACGGUCGCGUACGUGCUCCGCACGGCCCUCCUCGGCCUUCCUCUCCUGGAGGGCUCUGCUCGAGGUCUUGUGGUGCUUGUUCUCUUUCCAGCCAUCGCAGGUUAUACUUCGGCCCCACGGUGGGCGCCAAUGUUGGGAAGAUGCUCUCCGCACUCCCCAGCAGUACGAUGAAUAGAGAACCUUCUCACUCGAUGCCGUGAGAGGUCUGAGCUCCAACGAGCAGCGGGCUCAACAGUAGGUGAACACAAUGAAUGCCCUCCUUUAUUAAUGGCGGUAUCACGCCCCUUAUAUAGGGCCCGGAAACCAACCUAAUGACAUUUACAUAAAUGCCCCGUGACGGUGGGGGAAUAUUCCGGUAUAUCCUUUCAUCGCAGUCUACUGACCCUAAUACACCUGCGUAAUUUCACAUUGCAAACCCUUCGUUCAUCCUCUGACUGGGGCCUCAGCAUGUCGGAGGCUUGGAUCCUCCGCCCAGUUGCGGAUCCUCCGACGCUUUGGUGUCGGAGGUUCCGCAGCCCGGCUGGUCGGAGGUUGCUCGACCCGGCCACCCCGGGAGUUCCUCCUUAGCCUGGUCCAGUCGGAGGUUCCUUGGCCUGGCUGCGUUCUCCCGCCAUCCUCGGACCCGGGAGGGUCGGAGGCUCCAAUCUUUCCUCGCUCGUGGACCUCCGCCGGUGUCUCAGUCCCUGCACACACACUGCGCGACCAGACGAGUUGUCAACAUUAGCAUUUCCCGUCGAAGGAUAUCCUCCAACGUUUCAGGCGUCGGAGGUUCCUCAGGUGAAGGAUAACCUCCGUCGCUACCAGGGGGAAGGAUGCAGCUUUUCCCCAACACAAGCCUAACUCUGUGGUUAGCAGGAACAUUAUGAGAAUCAAAUUUUUGUUGAACAGUAAGCUCCCAAUCUAAAUAUGCCUUAGGAUCAAUAUUACCAGCAAAAGAAGGUAGGCUAAAUUCAAUUUUAACAAAAGAAUCAUUAUUACUAUGAUUAUUACCUCCCAUAACCUUACUCUGCUUCAUUCAAACUUUGAUCACAAGUGAGUAGCAAGGUCAGUAGCAGUAAUAAUACACAAGUCAUUAAAAUAGUGCAUCUUAUCUUAGUAAAUAAAAAUGUACCAGUGGCCCUCUUUUUGCUUCCUAUAUACUAGCUUUCUUGAACCAGUGAACCAAGAACCAACCGUUGGUUCCUAAGAGCUUGUUUGGAUGCCAUUUAUUCACCUCAGUCCUUGUGUAUUGGUUUAGCUUUGUUUAGAAUUUAAUUUAAAUUUCACACCAACUCACCCCUGUCACAUAUGGAUUGAGGCGGAUACAUGAGCAUCCAAACAAGAGCCCUAUAUAAAAGAAAAACGUUUCACUAGCUUAUACAUGCAAGAUCAAAUGCAGAACCAAAAAACUGCACUUUAUAUUGAUCACCAUACUCUUGUACUCUACAUUUAGCCUCUAAGUAUCUCGGGAGGCACUAAAUCACUCGCGCGACAUUUCUCACGUUCCCUGAAUCAACAUACAUUCUCUUGGUUGGGUGCACAUCUACCGUGUAUGACUUGCUACGUUAAAACCUGGAUCUACAAAUGCUAUGACGAAGACAAGUUCAUUGUUGCCAGCCGCCUCAGAUCUUCUUGGGUGACCACGAACAGCUUGUCGUUGUCCCGGAUCACGUCGAUGGAGUCAAUCUCAGCUCCUUCGUCGUUCACGAUCAGCGCCUUCUCCGCAUCAACUUUCAAUUUCUCACCUGAAGAAAAAGAAAAGUGCGAUAGCAUACUUCAGCACUUCAAUUAAUUUGCCACCGCAACUGCAAUUGACUGAAUGAAUUGUGCUUUCUGCGCCUACCGAUGAUGGCUUUGAAUUCUCCCAUGGUGGCUUCUCGAAGAUUGAUCAGCUUGCCAGCUUCAGAGCUGCGGUUUCUGAGGGACGGGUGGCCCUUGUAUAAGCUCACCCGAGGCGAGCGCUGGUUGUCCGAGCUUGUGCUCUGUAAUCUGCCCGGACGGCUAUGCCCCGACGAGCCGCCGUCCGGGACCACCGCCGGCGACGAGUCAACGAUGGUUAUCGAGUGGCCGAGCUCCCGCUUCUGCAGCAGCUCGCGCAGCUCGGUCGGCGACAUUGUUAGCCGCGCGGCGCUGGAGCCGUCGUCGUCAAGGUUUGCCUUGUCCACACUGGCCCCGUUCAUGAUCAGGAACCUGGCUACGUCGACGUGGCCGUUGGCCAUCGCGACGCGCAGCGCGGUGGCGCCGUCGUGGUCCUCCGAGUCCACGUCCAGGCCGAGCUUGAGGAGCUCCCGGAGCGCGUCGAGGUCACCGCGGCGCGCGGCGAGGCACAGGACGUCUCCGCCGGCGUGCGGGUUCGAUGCGUGCGCGAACUGGUACAGGAUAUUGAAGAUCUUGUGGUGCCCUGCCGCGAUGGCGUUCCACAUCGCCGUGUUGCCCUGUGCGUCCUUGAUGUUCACGUUGCACGCGUGCUUGAGCAGCACCAGCACGCAGUCCUCGUACCCAUUGGACGCCGCUAUGUGCUGCAAGUGGCAUCGCCAAGAAGAGCGUCCGGAUCAAAAUGAUCGUGCUAUGCAUGGAUGCAGAAUCCAGAAUGCCUUGAAUUCGACUGUAUGUUCGCUUACCAGUGCUGUUCUGCCCUUGGCGUCGCCGACGUCGGCGUCCUUCCCUGCCCUGAGGAGGUCCUCGAGUAAGCCGCUGUUUCCCAUCGCGGCGACCGUCAGCACAUUCGCGUCAUCAUCGUGCUCGCCAAUGUUGUCAAUCAGCAAGUCCUCGACAUUUAUACCAUGCAUCUCGACAUGAUGCUGCAACACACACGGAGCACAAGCAAAGCAACGGUUUCAGUGAUCACCUCCAGCACAGAGAGCUGCGAGAGGACUGGUAAGUGGUAACCUUGAGGAAGUUCUUGAUGACGACGACGCUGUCCUCGGGCCUAUUCUGCAUGGCCUCCUUGAGGGUGGCCUGCUUCAGCCGCAGCAGCUGGCUCAGCGUCCUCGUCCGGAACGUGAACGCCUGCGCCCGGUCGCUCAGCGCGCUCACCUCGCCGAAGAUGUCCCGCGUCCCCAGUGUCGCCUCCACCCGCUCGUCGAUGCCGUCGAACAGUAUGACCUCCACCUCGCCGGAGACGACGACGUACACGUCGUCCGGAGCCUCGUUCUGCACGAUCACCUCCUCCUUGGGCGGGAUGUACUCCGGUCUCAUCUUGGUGACCAGGGACAGGAGCAUUUCUCUUGAGACCCCGUUGAAGAGGUAGACGUCCUUGACGACAGGCACGAAGAGGUGCUCGCAGAUGCUCUUGUAGAUGGGCUUGGGCAGCUCGUCCAAGAGCUGCUGCUGGUUCAGGUUCUCCACCCUGAACUUGAGGCACAUGUGGGCUAGGAUCUGCUGCUUCAGCCGCGGCGGCAGGUGGUUCCGGCCGACGAAGCUCGACGCGGCCCUGAUGCUGCUCCUCUGCAUCCAAAUUCCAGAUGCAAGUCGAUCGUGUCAUUCAUUUUGCAUACAUAUAGCGAGCAUCGAGUAGUGCUUACAAACUCCAUGGUGCGGCCAGUGCCCUCGACGACGAGGUUGGUCAUGUUGCCGAUGAGGUAGGAGGUGAGCCCGAGGUUGAAGAACAUGUAGAAGAUGUUGAAGAUCAUCUCGAUGGUGUUCCUCGCGCACAGGUCGCCGUAGCCGACGGUGGUCAUGGUGGUGAUGGACCAAUAGAUGGCGGUGAUAUAGCGGAUCCCCAGGCUGGCCUGCCGGAAGUUUGGGAUCACCGCGCCGAUCCACGUCUUCUCCGAGUGCGGGUACCGGUCGGCGAUCAGGUAGUACAGGCACCCGGCGCAGUGGACGACGAACAAGGUCACCUGACCGUGCACGCGCGGCGCAGAGCCAAAUGGUUCAGAAAUCAGAAUUCAGUCGUCGGAAUUCAGAAUUGCAUGGUGACAAACCCUACCAACCGCGACGAGGCGCGCGCUGCGGAUCCAGAAGUAGCUGAAGCGGAUGUCCUUCUCUAGCCUGGUGAAGAACUGGUUGACCCUGCGGAGACGCCACAGGCGUAGGAGGCCCAGCACACUGUACACGGCAUCCUCCCUGACCUCGCCGGUGAUGAAGUAGGCAAAGGCCUGGAACGGGAUCGACGAAGCCACGUCCAUGAUGAAGAACGUCGAUAGGUACCUACGGGCGCAGCACAUAACAGCAAAGCUCGCAGCGUCAAAUUGCUUGAAGCAAUUAUUCUGCUUUCCUUUUUCAUUUUUGAUGGAUUUUUUCGUCAUAUAUAAGAGGAAGGAUUAAUCAAUAUUCAACCAAUGUCAUGUUUGAGCAUCCAACCACCAUCAGGUCUCUCACAAAGAAUUAUAAAAUGGCUGCGAAGAAGGGUGUCAAAAUUAGCUAAGGACGGAGAAAAGCACUAGAGGAUGUGGUGAUGCUAAAUGUUGGUGAUGCUAAAUGUUGGUGCUUGGUUCGAUGAGAACAUGGGAUGUGGGAGUAUGGGAGCCACCAUAAGAGAUAGCUCAGGUGGCACAUGCUCUUAUGGAAGGAUUGAUGUUACACUACUACAGAACGAGGCAUUGGUCGAUGCCCAAAAUGGCUAAAAACCUCGGUUUUUUCGGCCCGGGGUUAAAGACCCCUUUAACAUCGGUUCGUAACACGAACCGGUGCUAAAUGGUUCUGCCUGGUGCUGUCGGGGCAGGGACCCUUUAGCACCAGUGCCACGGGCCGAGGCAAAGCCUUUAGCACCGGUGCUAAAUGGUGACCCUUUAGCACCGGUUUUUGCCUUGAACCGGUGCUAAAGGUCCGGUUUAUAGGCCGGCUCCCUCCUCCCCUCUGCCCAUUUGAAACCGAGAGCACCAUUGUUGUUCUUGGAGCUUCUUCUUGCUUGUUCUUUAUUUGUUCUUCAUCUUCAACGCCCAUCGUUGAUCUUCUUCGACUCCAUCAUCGUCUCUUCGUGCUUGGAGGUGACUAACUUCAGCCUUUCUUGUCUUUUUCAUGUUGUUUUUGGCUUGUGAUGUUCUCAUCAUUUUUUAGCUCAAAUCCACUUUGUUAUUUUGAAUCAUUCACAUGAAUUACAUGAAUUAGUAUAUAUAUAUAUAUAUAUAUAUAUAUAUAUAUAUAUAUAUAUAUAUAUAUAUAUAUAUAUAUAUAUAUAUAUAUAUAUAUAUAUAUAUAUCAAUCAUAUUUCAUGGUUGACCUAGUAUUAAUGUAGUUUGCAAGAAUGAAUUAUAGUAUCUUUUUAUGAUCUUAGAAAGUAGGAUAGUUCAAAUUAAUUGGUUUGUUAAUAUCACUUGAUUUAUUUUUAUUACUACAUAAUGUCCAUUGUAUCAUACAUGUUUACUAGUAAAUGUGGAAUUUAUAAUUGUUUAAAAAUUGAGUAUGGAUAGUAGAUGGCAACCGUGACCGGGUCUUCAGUCUCUCAACGGGUUCAAAAGCGAUAUCGUCCUGAACUCCCUCUCAUUACUUGUGGCAAGUGUGGGCAGAAGAUUUUGAUGGAGUACAAAGUGUCGAAAGAGGGAGUAAACAAGGGUCGUAUAUUCUACAAGUGUCCGGAUCGUAAUGUGAGUUAUUUCCAGACAUUUGCUUAUAUAUGUACAUAUUUUUUUAAAUGAUAUUAAUUAAACUUAGAUACGCUCAGAGUACGUUACAUGUCUCUUUUCAUUAUCUCCUGAAUUAUAUUGAAUAACUUAGAUAACUAAUACCUUUUUUAUUUAUUUCAAAUUAAAGACGGAAUGGUUGAGAGAAAAGAUCCUACAACAAGACCGAAUCAAAGCUAUCCAAGAGACGAUAGCAGGAUUUCUCCACGACCAAGUGAUCAAUCCAAACGGCGAGUUUCACUUUAACGGCAACGAAACUCUUAAUCCAAACAACGAUGAUCAUUUGUAUCGUUUGUAGACAUUGGAAGAAAAAACUCUAUGUAUAUAUGUGUUACGAAUUUUGUACAUAUAAAACUAUAUAUAUAUAAAGCUUUUUACAUAUCUAUUUAAUUUUUGAUGUGGCCUAUUCAUUUUAUUAUAGGCAAAGCUUAAUUAUUAAGCUAAGCCUAUAAUUUUCAUUUAUAUAUGCUUAAUAUGCGUGUAAUAUAAAUAUAUUAUUGUAUCAGCAAAAACAUGUAUUGAAAAACCUAUUAUUAUAUAUUAUAUAAAAAUAAUAAACAGAACCAAAGAAGUGAACAAAAAAAAGAAACCCUUUAACACCGGUCGGUAAUACCAACCGGUGUUAAAGGGUCCUGCAACGUGGCAGCCCUGGCAGGACCCUUUAACAUCGGUCGGUAUUACCAACCGGUGUUAAAGGGGGGGCUUUAGCCCCGGUUACCUGAACCGGGACUAAAGGGUGGGCCUUUAGUCCCGGAAGGGCAGCAUCGGCUCGGGAACCGGGACAACAGGCCCUUCCCGACCGGUGCUAAUGGCCGAACGUGUGGCAGUGUUAGCACAAGAUGUAGGAUGCAAUUUGGUGAUUAUCGAAUCCGAUUGCAUGCAGGUGGUUGGUAUUAUGAGCGAUGAAGGGUUUACAGCUCAUUUAACAACGGCUAUAUAUGAUGAAUGUAAUACAAUGUGGUUAGGAUUCCAGGAGAUCUCCAUAGAGCACUACAGAAGGAAAACAAACUCAUGAAGUGGCAAAGCAAGAUUUCUAAAAAUUAUUUAUUUGGGAUGAUGGUCCCCCUAGCUUUAUUGUUGAGCUUCUAUCAAAUGAUGUAACAAUUCUUGAUCAAUAAAGCUUUACCGCUUUGUUUUGUCAAAAAAUGUCUUAUUUGAGCAAGGGGUCACAGUAAUAUGUGAUAUAUAUGAUGGCCCAUGGCCAAAAGCCUAAGCCUAAGGCUUUCUUCUGGGUUUCUAAUAUAAUUUGGUUUAUAUUCCAGACACAAUGGGUACCUUUGGCUUAUUAUAUAACUAAUAUGUAAGGUUUUUUUCUAAAAAAACUAAUGUAAGGCACAUAUGUAACAUUUUCUCUAUGAUUCUUCUUGAAAUUAGACAUUUUUCUAAAUGAACAAGCGGAAGCUCUGCCUUCAAUUAAGCGGAAGAGGAAGUUUAUGUACAAGAAUGCGGUGUAAACCAAUGAUAGCCGGGAAUCAUCCUUGCAAUCUGCACUCCCGCCAAUUACACCAUUGGAAACACACAAAUAGAAAGGUCCCCUAGAAAAAAACCAAGCAAUGCAUGCAAAUCUAGCGCCCUUCUGUAUUCCGAACAUUCUUUCCUUGUCUGAAAAAUCAUAGAAGUAUUAUUCGCUGAUUUAUUAUGAGAGAAAAAAUAUUGUUGAAUGACUGACAUAUUUUUUUCUUCAAAAAAUGACUGACAGAUUCGGCAAAUAAGUUCAAUUGAAUAGGAGAUAUCAGCAUCACUUGUGAUUCUUUAUUAUUAACAAUGGGUACAAGGAGUUGUUCGAGACGAAAGAGCACGUGAUGAGAGUCGCACACAUUAAGUUACUUAUUUGACGAGUAAUACGUUCAUGAAAGUGUAAGAUCACCUUUAGAGUGUUCACUUCGGCUCUAGAAUGUACUUGUUGCAGAAACGCAUCCUACGUUUUCUACCUUAAUACAAUAAUACACAAAUCUUUUGUAUAUUAUAGAAAAAACAUCGCACAUAUCCACAUGGUCAUAGUGUGGGAAUUCGGCAGCAGAACCAAUAAUCUCCAGCAGCACCUAUAAGUCUAGAACUACCCUUGCCGUUUUCUGACGGACAGAUGCACCGGCAAGAAAGAAAGGAGAGGAUGGGAAGGAAUGAGGCAGGAGUGGAAUGACGCAAGAGUAGUGUUUGGCACAGCUACUACGCUAUUAUUGCAUAGAGGGAACAUGCAAGAGUAGUGUUUGGCACAGUCGCUAUUUCAGAGAUCGAGCAAGGCAACAUGCAUGGUAGCUCAUGUUGGAGUCUUUGUAAUCUGCAGUGUGCAGUGUAGCUUUGAUCCACUUUCAAAAAGCCAAGGUAUUACUAUUAUCACCUCAUAAAACACAUGUGUUAUAUUCAGGUGUUCCAAACAUCUCUGUGCUAGGGUCGAAUUGUUUUGAAAACAUUAAAUGAUUAACAACUUUGGUAGUUCAGAUUGAUGAUUGUUAGACAUUUAAUAUCUAUUUUUCUAAGAGGAUCUCUGUUCCAUUUUUAUUUUAGCUACUAUUUUUGCUUUUCCUGUUGAUUUGGAGCAGGGGAGGAAUAGCUGGUUGGAUGCGUGAUCAACGGGGCCUUUCUAUGUUUAGUUUUCUCCCUAGGUCAUAAGUCAUAACACAUAUAGGUUCUCACUGCUAUUGUAUGGAUGGGUGAGUACUGGCUAUAUUCGUACAGUAAUAUAACCACAAAAGUUUCAUCUGUGCAAAGUGACUCAUAAUAGUAUAUUGGCCCACUUUUUUUUUUGCAUACUCUUAUUGCGUGGAAACCUUUGAGGCUCCCGACCCACUAUUUUCUUAAUCAUACUUCUAGUGCGUUGAAAAUUUUGAGUCCCAUAGCAACGCACGACAUCUACUAGUGUUCAAAGUGUGUAAGAUCACCCUUAAGUGUUCACUUCAGCUCUAAAAUGUGUUUGUUGCGCAACACAUCCUAUAUAUGCUUUCUACCUUUAAUACAUUGAUACACAAAUCUUUUGUAUAUAAGAGAAGAAAACCAUCGCACAUGCAACAUAUCCACAUGGGAAAAGUGAUAAUUCGGCAGCCGAACCAAUAAUGUCCAGCAGCACCUAGAAGUUUAGAACUACCCUUGCCACUUUCUGACUGACAGAUGCGCCGGCAAGAAAGAAAAGAGAGGAUGGGAAGGAAUGAGGAAGGAGCAGAAUGAUGCAAGAGUAGUGUUUGGCACAGGUACGGUACUCUACACUAUAUUUCAGAGACAAUGGUGAUAGUAAAUGGCUCAUCACAAAUGGUUAAUCAUAAACUUGCUUUUUUUACCACUGUCAUCCAUGCAAACCAAGCCAGAACGCUACUGUACCUAUUACCUACUAUACUGACGACGUUGCAAUUGCAUGUUUGCAACGCAGAGAGAUCGAUCAAGGGCAACAUGCAUGCAUGGUGACAUUGUGUGUGUGCAGGCAGUCGACGUACCUGAAGGUUAUCUUCUUCCUGUCGCAGACGAGGAGCUGGGACCUGGGGUCGAUGUAGGCGACGAAGAAGGUGAGCACGAUGUCGACGGCGAAGAAGAGGUCGACGACGAUGUCCGCCACCUCCAGCCCGCCCUUGGGGGACGCG